CAUGUUCAUGGAUUAGGGUUCCAGUUUUCCUUGCAGUGUCUCCUUUUUGGGUGACUGAUUAUGGUUUUGAAGGAUUUGAAUGUUUUCCAGUUCAUAGACUCUUCCUAGUGCCCAGCCUCCAUUCAAGGUGUUCCUGUCAGUUGAUACACACGGUCAGUAAUCUUAUCAGGGAAUUAACUAACUGGGAAAACAGGACUGGACUUUCUUUUAAUGUGAUUUAUUAUGACUUUGAAGGAUCUGAAUGUUUCCCAGCUUCAUCUCUUCAUGCUGCCUGCCUCCUUUAGGGCAUCUCUGUCACUUCAUUCACACAGUCAGUAAUCAUAUCAGGGGAAAAAAAAAAAACAAAAAAAAAAGGAAAAUUGACCUUACAUUCAAAAGGUGAACUUUUCAAAAAUAAAGGUUCAUAUAUUUUUUUUUAUAAUACUUCAUGUUCAUACCACAACUCAACUAUAUUUUUUUUCUUCUUCAUGGCAUAAGCAAUAAUUGGAAAUGGUGAAUAAUUUGCCCUAUUAUGAUUUUGCAUAACCAUUUUCAUAUAUUUUUUUUUAUUGGUCAGCCUCAGCUUUCAUAUAAAAGAAGAAGAAAGAGGAACACCUGACUGAGUAACAAAUGUAGCAGAGAUCAGUCUGACGGACAGGUUCACUUCCUUACUACAGGGACGCUUCCUGGCUGAGGUGGAGAAGCUUUGUUGUUCUUGUUUCAUUAUGUUUGCAGCUUUCAUCACAAAGCAAACAUCAUCUUUAUACAAACUUCUUUACAAUGUGACAAAGAAUUCAUCACAGCAUUGGCAUAAAUAGUUGUUUCAAUAAAUAUUCUGUAUCAGGAAUGAGUUCAUAGUGAUUUUAAUCUUGAGUACCGAGUCAUUUCUGCUUAAAAUAUUGAUGAUCAAAAGGCAUUAUCAGCUUAUCAGCACUCUAAAAUAUCACAUCAACAUACGUAUAGCUUUGUCUCCUCAGCAGUCCGGUAUCAACCAUGCAUGUUACCAUGGAGACAAAUUACUGAGAACAAAAAUUAGUUUCCAAUCAGAGGCAGUUAGCAAGGGUCUGGUCUACAGGGUCUGGUCGACAGCAGUACAACAAACUAGUCACAGAAGUAAGACAAACCAUAAAUCUUGGUUCAGGUAUCUGUCUCAAAGUGAUUUACUGUUACUGUUACCAGACCUGAGACAACAGCAGGGCAACACACGGCUGGCUAUGCACAGAGCCAACACAGCAUUAGCAGGUAGUAAUGGAUCAGUCUGAAUCAACACAGUGUUAGCAGGUGUUAAUUAGGAGAUCUGCCUAAGCAUCUGAGAUGUUAGUAAGGUGGUGAGUGAGAGGCAGAGGGAGCACAGUCAGGUUAGCAGCAACGUGAACUUCAACCAUCUCAACGAUCUCCUCCCACAGGCUGCAGUCUUGAGUCAGUGUGUGUAAUCACUCCUGUCACCACAUGUCCACAAAUUAGUGAAGAUAAGAGGUUGGGUGUGAAUGACAUCUUGUGUCGGUGUCCAGGCAUAAGAGAAAAAUGAAAGGUGUUAUCAAGCCCCAGGUGACAUCACCACCCACUAUCACGCCCCUCUCUGAACUCUGCCUUGCCCCUUCUCCUGCAUAGUGAGUCUUACACUCCACCCCUGAGGAGCUGCUCACCGCCACUCCCUGAAGAGAACAUAAAGGUGUCUGUUUACAAGGAGGGACUGAGAAAGAUGAAUGUUGUCCUUGUGCUAGUGGUGGUUGUGGGAAGCUGUGUGUGUGGGGUGCUGCCUCAGCCCACCCCAACCACACAUUACCCACAGGUCACUCAGGGGAACCACACCCAACAUGUUGCCAUCAAUGACAAGGAAAUGAAAUUCCAGCCUGAUGUGGUGACCCCUGAAACAGCUGUAAAGAAAAACACAAGGAUGCAUGGAGACAAAUCUGAAAAUGUAAAAGCCAACAACCACAUCAGAAGAGACUCAAGGGUUAGUCAAAGGCUCCAAUACAUCCUGAAGGAAACUGAAGCCAAGAUCCUCGAGAUGAACAAGAGACACCCAAACAGAGGGAAGCUGAAGACACUGCCGGGGCUUGAAAGGCUCAAACAGGAAGAGAUGUCACGGAUCAAUGCCACUUCCUCUCCCCACACAGAGGAUUGUGUCUUUGUGUGUCCAGAUGCUGAGAGUCUGGCGCCCUGUACAUGUGACCCCUGCACACACAACAUCAACUGUUCCUUUAUAGCGUCCUUUGAGCAGCUGUACAACAUCUUCCAUUCAACGGACUUCCCAAACCCAAGGUUCAACCAGUUCCUGCUGGUGGGCUCCUUCAGGACAGACCACAGAGCCACCAGUGCCACCUCAGGCACCUUCCUUGCCCAAACAUUUGGCAACAUCUCCUUUACCUCCAUAUGGGUGGAGGAGGUGUCGCAGCUCACUGUGGUGGAGUCUGGGGCAUUCGACGGCAGUGAAGAAACACUCAAGAAAAUUAAUUUCAGGUGGAACUCUGCCCUCACAAGCUUCCCCUUCGAAGAGAUAGCGAAGAUGACUGAGCUUGAUUUGCUGGAGGUGCGUUUCAGCAACCUCACCGCUGUGCCAACGCUUCCACACAACAUGCGGCUGACCAGACUCUACUUGCUUGACAACCCCCUCAUGACCACCAUGCCACGGAUGGCUUUCGCUCAGCUCCCUAAUCUCUUGAUCCUUGACUUGGGAUUCAACUCUUUCAAAAUCAUAGAGGAGGACAGCCUGUACUUCUCAUCUCAAAAUGUGCUGGUGUUUCUUGACCACAACUUUAUCAACACAAUCCAUUAUAACGCCUUCAGUAGAUUCCAACCCGUGGGUCUCGAUGUGUCCAGUAACAAUCUCAUUGAACUGGAGCAGCAAGUCUUCCAGCCCAUCCUGGACCACAUCAUCGCCCAGCAGUACGACUCCUACAUAGACGCCUCCGACAACCCUCUUCAGUGUGGCGCCCAAGAGUGGCUGACACAGAACCCUUCAUACCUCUCCCACAUCUUCCUGUCCGACUCUCCCUGCAUGAAGCUAACCUGAAGCACUGUGUCACAUGAACGGCUUUCCUUUACUGCCACAUGCCACGGGUUGAUGGACAGUGUAAGCUGAUACAACAGUGCCAAGGUGCUGUUAUCAAUCCUCCACCGUACUACAAACCUAACUCCCAUCUCGUCUGUGGUAACUAUUCCCGUUCUAAGUGAGGCUAAAUCUCCCUGUGGUCGCUAUUGUUUGUUCAAGUAAUGACCUCACUGCCCCGUAUUAUCUCCCAUCAAUCCUCCACCGUAAUAUAUGAUAAGUCUCGAGUGUGGCGCCUCUCCUCGCUCCCUGUAAGUUAGUAAAUCUCCCUGUGGUCACUAUUGUUUGUUCAAGUAAUCCCCCUUCUGAAGUCAAGCGUUACCAGCAGAUUCUUAACAUUCACAUUGAAGGUACUUUCCGAUUUCUGAUUCAUGAUAUUAAUUACUAACGAUUUUACGAUUUUAACUCUAACUAUAAUUGAAUAUCGUUAUCGGUAUGGGUACGACAGUUUUAUGGCUCUGAAACCGGCUAAUACAAUAUCCUGAGAUCUUAAAUGUUAUAGUGGUUAGUUAUUUCAAUCUGGUAUAUACCGCUGCUUCUGCCCUACUGUAAUGAUUGAUGGUCUCGUGUGGGGUGACUAUUAUCGCUCCCAGUAAUUCUAAAGGUCAUACCGGCUGAUACAAUAUCCUGAGAACUUAAAUGUUAUAGUAGUUAGUUAGUUCAAUCUGGUAUAUACCGUUGCUUCUGCCCUACUGUAAUGAUUGAUGGUCUCGUGUGGGGUGACUAUUAUCGCUCCCAGUAAUUCUAAAGGUCAUACUCAAAUAUUUCGGCGCUCCAACACACAUUAUUUGACAAGGCUUUCAUAGGAGUUGUGGGCAGUUCCAGGGGUAGUUUUAUGACCCUGGCGAUAGUUUAACCCUUCUUCUGUACCAUGAACCUAAAGAAACACUCAUUGGAACCCGAUUAACCUCCUUUUUUGGCCUUUGAAAAUAGUCGAUGUGAGAGGCGAAAGUGUCUGAUAGUAAAGCGACCCAAAUCCUCGGUGCUCACUAAUGUUUGUUCACGUAAUCGCCCCUCGAUCUGCCCCAGCCCCCAAGUGCUUCUUAUCAGUCACUGCGCCAUCGAGUUUAGAGAGUGCGUUAUCCUGACAGCUCAAGAAGGUUAGGUUGUAAAUAUUCGAGGAUUAAAGAUGGUGAGCAGAAUAUUGUAACUGCAAGACUUUUUCUUCUAAUGAAUACAGUGAUUGGAAGGUAUGUUAUAUGUUUCCUUGGCUGACAUCGUUGAGAGAGAGAGAGAGAGAGAGAGAGAGAGAGAGAGAGAGAGAGAGAGAGAGAGAGAGAGAGAUAAUAAGCUGCGGGCAAUGGCAUGUCAAAGAGCGGUGUGAUGUAAUCGAGAGAGAGAGAGAGAGAGAGAGAGAGAGAGAGAGAGAGAGAGAGAAACGAUGGCGAAUAUUAACGAAGGUGAGAAUACACAUUGAAUGGCUGAUAAGACUCGCUUAACGAUGACAAGACAACGCUAUAACGCGUUUAUGUGUUGGAGAGAGAGAGAGAGAGAGAGAGAGAGAGAGAGAGAGAGAGAGAGAG